rnacentral:lncRNA from 1 species
UCGCAUGAAAAUCAUGAAUCGCCCAACUAUUGGGCCUCAUGGCAUUAAUCUCGAAGAAAAUCAUUUCUGGCCUUGGCCCGAAAAAAGUUGAAAUCGCCGGGAUUUGUUCGAUCACAAUUCACACAGCCAAUUGAAUAGCGCGCCUUCUGUGUCUGCAAUGAAAGAAGCGAAAGAGAUCCAGUUUAAGGUGUUUACAGUGGUGGAGUAUUGAUGGAUAACUGAUGCCAUUGUUCCGGAGUUGUAAUUCUUCUUAAUCAGCAGAAACCGAAUCCGGUAAUUCUAUUUUGAUCUCAUUAGUUUAAUGUUAUGGAUGAAUUUAUGAAACAAUUUGGAUUCGUUAUUGCUGUGAUUACUACUAGAAGAACUAAGGAAGCAAUUAAAAGAAGCUGAUAUGGGAAUUUCAGUAUUGUAAACCUCAAUUUUUAUAGAGCUGAGAUGCUCCUGCUGGAAAUUCCUUUAACUAACUCUAAGCUAGCGUUUGACCAUAGAUUUUGGGAGUAAGUUAUUGAAAUUCAUCUUCAAAUAUAUAUUUGAUCACGAAAUUUGAUUAUAUUUGAAGAACUGAUCUACAAAGACCAGUUUUCGGAUUUCCACUACAAAACUUAAAAUUUUUUCCAAGUAGAAUGCAUGUCCAAGCACAACUUCAAAAACUCAAAAUUUGAAGUUUCAAGUUUUAACUUCAUACUCCAGGGAUCAAGUGUAAUAGAUAAACUUUUUAGGUAUUUUGAAACUGUGGUAGGAGUAAGGUCACUUUAGGGGACUCUACUGUGCAGCUUUAUUGCAAUGGAGAACACUUGAGUAACACAUUGGGGAAAUUCUUUUAGCAUUUCUACCCCUUGAUUCUCCCUUAUUAUCACCAGAAUGACACUUGGUUUGGCCACGUGUCUAAAUGAACGGGGAAUAGAGGUCAAUCCGAUCCAUGAAUUCAGCCCAGAAUGAUGUUAACCUUUAGGAUUGUGAAGUUGAAAAUGAGAUCCACUUGACAUAUUCCUUAUAAGUUUGAUUGUAGCUGAUGGCAUAAAAUCCUGUGCAGUGGCAUUGCCAUGAUUUUGCUUAAGUAGUGUCAGCCUAUUGUCUGGAUAUCGGGUUGUGGGAAUUCUAAAGCUUUACCUCAUGUCCCAAGUUUAUUGAAGCGGUUGGAUUCUGCAAUUACAUAUUGUUUCUAUUCACACACACACAAACUCACUCUCUCUCUAUGUGUCUUCGCCGCUGGUUCUAUGAUCAUCUUCCAUAGUACAUCUUAGCGGAUUUAAAUUUUGAUGGUCAGGCGGAAAUUUGACGUCAUAGACUUCAUUCAACGACAUUUCCUCUUGAUCUUCACCCUGCUCCUCUUUAACUGACUUGCCAUCAUCCUUCCCAACAUUCUCUUCUAUAUCCUCCUUCAUUUCCAUAAACAAUGUCGAGGUGUUUGGGCUCGUAUCGAUGCCCCAGAAAGUACUUUUAGCUUCUGUUUACAUAGUAGAUUGUAUGUGAGGUAACAGAAAGUUGAAAGGUUUGUCGAUGGAAGACUAGAUGGCUUGGGAUAGCUGUGGAGCUCUGUGUUAGGUGCUUGGUUUCAGGCUAUUUAUUGGAAAGAAGCUGGAUUAUGGAGUAGAAUUGUGUUUAUCGGAUUGAUGGAUUUCAUGCUACUUGCCUGCUUCAUACACAGCUGUAAGAGUUGUAGGAUGCUUAUAGCAAUGAUACAUUCCUCAUGCUACUUGGCUACUUCAUACACAUCUGUAAGAGUUGUAGGAUGCUUAUAGCAAUGAUACAUUCCUCAUGCUACUUGGCUACUUCAUACACAUCUGUAAGAGUUGUAGGAUGCUUAUAGCAAUGAUACAUUCCUCAUGCUACUUGGCUACUUCAUACACAUCUGUAAGAGUUGUAGGAUGCUUAUAGCAAUGAUACAUUCCUCAUGCUACUUGGCUACUUCAUACACAUCUGUAAGAGUUGUAGGAUGCUUAUAGCAAUGAUACAUUCCUCAUGCUACUUGGCUACUUCAUACACAUCUGUAAGAGUUGUAGGAUGCUUAUAGCAAUGAUACAUUCCUCAUGCAACUUGGCUACUUAAUGCACAUCUAUAAAACUUUUAGGAAUAAUAUCCUAGGAAUUAAUCUCUAAUGAAAUAUGAAUUUCACUCCGCCAUUGCAGUUGAAAGAUAAUUUCAAUUGUACAAACCUCUGAUUCAAAAUGUUAUGGUUUGCACAACUAACCAGCCAUUAGAAGAAGGAAAAUAAAUCUAGAAGGAAUGAAAAGUUAUUAGAAAUAAGGAAGAAGUUUAGAGGAGCAAAAAAAGAGCUAAAAUGGGGUUCAGAUAUGGAUUUCAAUGCUUUCCAUUGAGAUGUCCCUGCUGGAUAUUCCUCUUACUGACUCUAACAAACUAACAAAAAUGCAAACUGACUCUCCCCUUAAACAUUUUGCAGCUUAGCAUCCAUCGCAUCACAACAGUGACCAAGCUAUUGAGUUAGGGGCAUAUAUAGAUUGAUAGCAUAACAUAUGACAAUAUUAAACCUUUUUCAAUAGUAGAGAGGCAAAUAUGACCCUUUCUCUAAAAUAUAAACAGAAGACUUCUCCUUUCUCCAAGAAGAAACAAAAUGACAGACCAUAGACAAAACUCAGAGCCUGAGCAGAAAAAAUAUAUUCUUGCUUUUUCCCAAAAGAGAACUGAAAGGAAAUAAAAGAUACGGGCAGUCAAACUUGUUUGCCAAAUUUUUUUAUUUUUUAUUUAAAAAAAAAGAAAGAUAGAGUAACCAUGAAGACCACUGUUUCUUGUGCUUCGUCCAACUCUGAUAGUUGAUGAUCUUCUCACGUCAUUUAUUCUCAGUUGUUGUGUUUUUUGAUUGUAGUCUCAAGAGUACAUCUCUUUUACUCUUGCAGGAUAUUUCUUUUUCUCUUGGAUUCUAAAUUCUUGUUUUAUUCCUUACUUGAGGUGUGCGCUUAUUGAUCGCUUGUGUGCCGCACCUCGCCUGAAGUGUGGUAGGCGCCAUUCUGUUCUUUGCAUUGCCUCAGGACCUGAAUCUUGCCUUUGUUUUCAUUAGAGGCAUGAAAUGCUCAAAGUGUAAUGUUCUUAAAUUUGAUUUGUCCCAGCUCCUAUAUUUAACAAACUAUAUGUUGUAUUUUGUUUGACAGAUAUAAUAGGUGUUAUACAUCAAAUUAUACGCACAUCAUUGCUUAUUUUUUUACAAAUAGUUUAGAUAUACAUGAAAACAGGUCUAGUAGUACAACUUAUAUCUAUAGUUGUACAUAUACAUGUUGUACAACUAGGACUUAUUUUCAUAGCUGCUUCGCUUCGGGUUGGCGGUAUGGUGGGAUGUUAUAUUGAAUAUGUUUCAUACAUUCUCGAAAAGUAUUUCUUUUUUAUUCAUUUCGACAUGCUCCACUGGUGCUUUAAAGUUUUUGGAUUUGUUUCUGCUGUGGGUUCUUCUAUUUUCUGAUGAAAAAGUGAUACUAGAACAUUUGUGAUGUCGGAGAUGAUAUGUGUGGCUUAUAUCAUAUAAUAUAGCUAUCAAGGCGAACCCACCUUGUAUCAAAGGAGGUUAAUUUAAUCAGUUUUGUGGAAAAGAAUUACUCUAUACAGAGAUAUAAUACAUAAUUAUAGAAAGCUAACCACUUAACACAGAUGGAUUCCAGUAUGCUCGUAAAGGGCUAAAUCUGUUGCUUAUAUCAUGCAUUCAAUUCCUUUGAACUUUUUUUUUCUUUUUUCAAUUUAUGUUUCCAGCCAGACCCCUUCCACUCUCCCUCUCACACCCCUUCUCUGUUUUUUGAUGCAUCCAGAGAUUUCAAUAAAAAGAGUACGAAAGAAAAAAGCAGAUGACCUGAUUCUGCAUUCUGUUUAUUUCAGCAUUCUCCUUGCUUAUAGCAUCAACCAUGCAGUGAUACUUUGUUUUCUUUUUCAGAGUAAAUAACUGUAGUAGUUCUUUGGUCACUAUUUUUGCUAUAUUAAGUAAAUUUCUUUCAUGCCAAUUGGUUGGGUAAUGAACUAGUGAUCUACUUAUAUGAAUUUGGAUAAUCUUUCCCUCAUUAGCUAGCUUUUGAGGUUGAGUUAGACCCAAGUGUCAUAUGUUUACAUGGUAUAAGAGCUAGGUCGUUCCAUGUUUGGGGCCCAAUGUUAUAUUGUGCACUCUCCAGUUGGGAGAGCUGGCCUUGGGCAUUGGGCUUGGGUGUGAAGAUGUGGUUGGAGUUUGUAUUGGUGGUUUGCUUAUAUGGACUUGGACAAUCCUCCUCAUGAGCUAGCGUCUGGGUUGUGAGUAAGGCCCAAAUACCAUAUGUUUACCGGGAUUGUUUUGUAGGCUAAUAUUGGAAAUCUCAUUCUAACAAAUUUAUAUUUGAUGUUUUACCAUCUCAUCUAACAAUUUUAAGUUUGUGAAUUUAAAACCUCUGUAAGUAGAAUGCUUCCCGCCAAAUUUUAAUGAUGUGGUGCUCUCAAAUGUUUUAAUAUACAAUCUUGGAGUAACAACAACAAUAACAUACCAAAUGUAAUCUCACAAGUGGAGGCUGGGGUGUGUAGAGUGUAUGCAAACGUUACCCCUACCUUGUGGAGGUAGAGAGGCUAUUUCCGAAAGACCCUCGGCGCUAGAACAGCAAAUCAAAGUAGCUAUGGAAAAGGAAAUACAACAUUAAAGAUACACAAUUUUGGAGUGGCUGAAUAAUUAUUGUGUCUGUUUCUAUUUCUGAUUAUUGAGUUUUGUGAUGUUGCUUAUUGUUGUCUUUGUAGCUUUCUUCUAGUGAGGAAUAAAAAUGGUCUAUUGAUGUUAUCCAAGUCAGUGCAAGUGUUAGGUGUUAGGUCUAGUGGAUAUCUCAUUACAGGAUAAUAAAAAGAAUGGUGAAAGUAAUGUUACCAGUUUCAAAAAAAAAAAGAAUGGUAAAAGUUUUAAUUUGUUUGCUUUAUCUUUUAAGGAAGGUGCUAGACUUCUAGGAAUUCAGAAAGACUCCUCAUUGUGUUGGGCAUCAGAUUGAUAGUUGAAUCGAGGAGUUCAACAGAAACUCUGCAUAUGCAUUAGCCUAAGGUUUAUAAAUAUUCAAUUUGUUAAAUUGCUUGUGUUUAGUAAUUUAAUUAGCAGAAUUUUGAAAUUCUUACCAACAUUUUCGUCGUUAGUUCUAGAUAGUUUUAAAGAAGAAAGUUGGAAAGUAAGUUUUGGGGGACUAGGUACUAUUGUGCAGAUUAAUACAAUUUCAUCAAGACAUUCAUGAAGAUAAAUACGAUAGUAAUAAGAAAAAAAAAAUUAUGUUGUUUGGAAAUUGAGAAUUUCCAUUUGAGUUGAGUCAAAGCAGUUGCCUUGGUUUUAGUCUAUCAUAAGCAAAAAGACAUCAAAACCAUGCCUUUUGAGCCUAAAAGAAUUUUAUUUAGGUGGAAACAAAUAUGACAGUCAUUUUGUCUUCAAGUUAUUAAAGAGUAUACACUAAGUAGUCUUAACAAACCAUAAAGAAGCAUCCAGCAAUUAUGAGGCCGCUUAUCUGAAAUCCUAUCUAUAUUGUUUAUUAUAUCUUAUGGGUCAUGGUUUGUGAUAUUCUUUUUCCAUUUUUGGCUUCAUUUAUCAAAUGAAACAGGCAUAUCUCUGGUUUGUUAGAUGCCACGUCCAAGCUUUCAUUUCCCUAUUUAACAUUAUCUUCUAAAUGUGGGCUAUCCAGAUUUACACAUGUGCAAUGCACAUGUCAUCUCAUAUAAAACAUAGACAGCACCAAAGACUUAGUUUUGCUUUCUUGCAACAUAUUAUAUCUGUUAUUUAAGCUGUAAGGUAGGUGGUUCAAAGAGAUCAUUUUUCCCCUUCCUAUAAUUGAAUUUUUGUUCAGGAUUUUGAGUGUUGGCAGUCAUGUGGGUGAGGCAUGCAAUGAUGUCAAGCAUUAUUGCAAAGAGGGUAUCCCCAAAAGUUGAUGUUAUGUGGGUUGGACUAGUAACAAGAUGACACAAAUCAAUAGCCUCUUUACUGAAAAGGACACUCAAAAGUUUUUUCUUUAAGAUUUGUAUCAAAAUCUAUGUCACCAUUGGUUCCCUUGGGGACCCUUUCUCAUUGGUGUUGACACGUUAUUGAAAAUUGGUCCCUUGACUUAAUCUUCUGCAGCUUUUUGAGGAGAUAUUGGUUUGUUGGUUCAAUUGUUUUCAGCUGAAUAUGCCUUUAAUAAACUCCUUUUUUUUUU